AGUGAACGCUGGCGGCAGGCCUAACACAUGCAAGUCGAACGGCAGCACAGGGGAGCUUGCUCCCUGGGUGGCGAGUGGCGGACGGGUGAGGAAUGCGUCGGAAUCUGCCUAUUUGUGGGGGAUAACGUAGGGAAACUUACGCUAAUACCGCAUACGACCUACGGGUGAAAGUGGGGGACCUUCGGGCCUCACGCAGAUAGAUGAGCCGACGCCGGAUUAGCUAGUUGGCGGGGUAAAGGCCCACCAAGGCGACGAUCCGUAGCUGGUCUGAGAGGAUGAUCAGCCACACUGGAACUGAGACACGGUCCAGACUCCUACGGGAGGCAGCAGUGGGGAAUAUUGGACAAUGGGCGCAAGCCUGAUCCAGCCAUGCCGCGUGUGUGAAGAAGGCCUUCGGGUUGUAAAGCACUUUUGUCCGGAAAGAAAACCUGUCGGUUAAUACUCGGCGGGAAUGACGGUACCGGAAGAAUAAGCACCGGCUAACUUCGUGCCAGCAGCCGCGGUAAUACGAAGGGUGCAAGCGUUACUCGGAAUUACUGGGCGUAAAGCGUGCGUAGGUGGUUUGUUAAGUCUGAUGUGAAAGCCCUGGGCUCAACCUGGGAACGGCAUUGGAUACUGGCUUACUAGAGUGCGGUAGAGGG
rnacentral:rRNA from 1 species